AUUUGUGUCGCCUCCUAGUAAACACGAUUAAUUCGGGUCGUGUACCAGUGAGCAAAAAUAAUAAUUAGCAAUUGAAGGUUGUUUCUCUAAUUAUCGUUGCAACACAUCUUUAUUUAUGUUUACCACAAUGUUGUAAAUAAAACAAAAUAAUAUAUAAAAAACCAGUCAUGGGUCUUAAGACCCACUCUAGCCUGCUAAAGCAUAGCCUCUGAGAACUGUUUCAAACGCCGCGGUGACGGCGUAAGUAAAAUGGGCUUGCAGUACAGAAAAAAAGCACAACCUUCGAGACUCACAAUUACUUUCACGGUCGUUUGCGGUUUUGAUGCUCGUAGUACAGUGGUUGGCUUUUGGCUUUCGCAUUUACUUCGACUUUGGAUACGCAACUGUGAAAAGCGCGGCAGCGGUAGCAGCGGUUACUCCUCAGAAUCUGAAACCACGCCGGCGGUUCUUUAUUCCAUGACGGCGGCAAGCCUGCGACCGUCGAAACGCGAGUGGGAUUUUUCUCUUGCGUCCGUUGCGCCUGUGAUACCCGACAACUGUAGCAGCAUGUCAUCUGAUCCGACUUCAACUGAAGGCUCGCCGACUGAUGCGGAAGCAGUUUACCUCGUUUCGCACGGGCCACCAAAGAAAAUUGUGAAGUUCACAGGCGCCCGGAAGCUCGCCGACCUUCACGAAAGUGUGCGGAUGGGUGGGUUCGCGCACCUGAUGACAUGCAAUGAUCUCCUAAUACAGCAUGCUGGAAGCUGCACAGAGGAGUUGGCAAGGGGGCACAAGGAAGCAAUGCCCCGUUGCUGUCCGUAGGGUGAACGCAAGGCGGCUCGUGGCGGCCGCAAUUUCUACGCUGCGCUUUUCAUCUCUGAAGCCAUGCGCAGCAGCGUGCAGUCGUCAUGUUCAGCAAAGCAGUGCAAAGGUACCCGAAUAAGCUGUACAACAUUGCUGCAAGGUGCCUUGGUGAACCAGUACCCAGCCCUGAGGAACAGAUUGGACUCUGGCUAUGUAAGAGCAUUUCCUUGUAAAUUUCCUUCAUUUUGAUUUCUUUGGCACAUUUAAAGGUUAAAAUAUGCUGUCAAAGUCUUUCUUAGCACUUCGUAAUGUUUAUGGCCAUUGUUUCUCGCAACUGUUCUCGUCUGUGUGCUUGUCAUUGAGUAGACAUGCUGUGAUCUAUAAGCUUUGCAGCUUGACUAAAUUUGAAGAUGCCAACAGCAGCUCUGCAUCUGAGGUGCAAUACGGCCACCUUCUGUAAAAUUAAUUGCAUGCUCAGCUAAAUAUACAAUUGGUUGAACAAUAUAUUUUGUACCUGUAGUCAUUUAUGCAUAAAAAUUUUGACCACACUAAUACAGAAAGAAAUUACUCAACUGCUGUGUUGAAAGGUGUGCUAAGAUAGCUCGACUGGUACAUUUUAGAACAUGAAGGAAACAGUGCAAAAAACAAGUUAAGAUUAGGGCAACUCUGUUUUUACUGUGUACUGUUUUCAAUUUCUUACACAAUCUGAAAACCGGAAGCCACUGAACUGGUAUUUAUGUAAAGUCAGUUGCUUUCACUUCAUUCUAGUUCUCCUGGCACAUGCGCCUGAAAAACAAGUACAAAAUCUUAAAGCUUAAAUCUCCUAAUUUAUCUAAAUUGCACUGUUGUUCCCACUUGCUGCAACAUAACUGUCAACUGCAUCAGAGCUGC